rnacentral:lncRNA from 1 species
CCAGACUCAUCCCGCCAUCAUGACCUUUUAUUACCGUCACAUAUCACCAAACUAAGAGGAAGAGGCCAAAAGAACUGCUGGACACCAAUUCAGAGUUUUCCCACUCAGCAAAUGUGGAUUUCCAUGUAAUCCUCAAAUCAAGGGGAAGGAAAGAACCAUUCCAAAAUGCCCUUCCAAUUCACACUCUUCCUUGGCUCCCCUGGCCUCACCUCCUUUCUCUGGAUCCUCCCACCCUCCGCUCUCCGCGUCGUUUGCCUGCAGUGUCUGUGACUCAUAGGCCUAU